rnacentral:rRNA from 1 species
UACGUAGGCAGCGAGCGUUGUUCGGAAUUACUGGGCGUAAAGAGUGUGUAGGCGGUGUUCCCAGUCUGUUGUGAAAUCUCCCGGCUUAACUGGGAGGGUGCAUUAGAAACUGGAAUGCUAGAGGAUGGGAGAGGUAAGCGGAAUUCCUGGUGUAGCGGUGAAAUGCGUAGAUAUCAGGAGGAACACCUGUGGUGUAGACAGCUUACUGGACCAUUUCUGACGCUGAGACACGAAAGCGUGGGUAGCAAACAGG